AACGAACGCUGGCGGCAGGCUUAACACAUGCAAGUCGAGCGCGUAACAAUACGUGCGGCAGACGGGUGAGUAACGCGUGGGAACGUACCCUUUUCUACGGAAUAACGCAUGGAAACGUGUGCUAAUACCGUAUACGCCCUUAGGGGGAAAGAUUUAUCGGAGAAGGAUCGGCACGCGUUGGGUUAGCUAGUUGGUGGGGUAAAGGCCUACCAAGGCGACGAUCCAUAGCUGGUCUGGGAGGAUGAUCAGCCACAUUGGGACUGAUACACGGACCAAACUCCUACGGGAGGGAGAGGGAGGGAAUAUUGAACGAGGGGGGCUAGCCAGAGCCAGCCAUGCCGCGUCAGUGAUGAAGGUGUUAGGGUUGUAAUGCUCUAUCCCCUGUGAAAAUAAUGACGGUAUCCGGAGAAUAAGUCCCGGCUAACUUCGUGCCAGCCGCCGCAGUAAGAC
rnacentral:rRNA from 1 species